GGGUUGUGAGGUUAAGUGACUAAGCGUACACGGUGGAUGCCCUGGCAGUCAGAGGCGAUGAAGGACGUGCUAAUCUGCGAUAAGCGUCGGUAAGGUGAUAUGAACCGUUAUAAC
rnacentral:rRNA from 1 species